CCUACGGGAGGCAGCAGUGGGGAAUAUUGCACAAUGGGGGAAACCCUGAUGCAGCGACGCCGCGUGAGUGAAGAAGUAAUUCGUUACGUAAAGCUCUAUCUACAGGGAAGAAACACUGACCUUAUGGUCAGCAGACGGUACCUGAGUACGAAGCCACGACUAACUACGUGCCAUCAGCCGCGGUAAUACGUAGGGGGCAAGCGUUAUCCGGAUUUACUGGGUGUAUAGGGAGCGUAGAUGGUGCGGCAAGUCUGGAGUGAAUUGCCGCAGCUUAACUGCGGAAAUGCUGUGGAAAUUGGCGAACUAGAGUGCGGGAGGGGUAAGCGGAAUUCAUAGUGUAGCGGUGAAAUGCGUAGAUAUGAGGAGGAACACCGGUGGCGAAGGCGGCUUACUGGACCGUAACUGACGUUGAGGCGCGAAAGCGUGGGGAGCAAACAGGAUUAGAGACCCGAGUAGUC
rnacentral:rRNA from 1 species